GGCUGAAUAGCUCAGUGGUAUAAGAGCAGUCGCUCGGCAAGCGAAUAACUCGGGUUCAACUUUCGAUUCAGCGA
rnacentral:tRNA from 1 species